AUGUUAAGACAGCAUUCAUCCACCUUCAGAAUGAAGGUCCUGGGAGUGCAAACUUGUACAACUACUUUGGAAAUCAAUAUGGCACCUUCUCAGAAAGUUGAGAAAAUCUACCUCAAGACCCAACUAUCCCAUUCUUGGGCAUAUAUUCAAAGGAUGUACAAUCAUACCACAAGGACACUUGCUCAACUAUGUUCAAAUUUAUUUAUAAGAGCCAGAACAUGGAAACAACCUAUAUGCCCCCAAACCUAAGAGUGGAUAAAGAAAAUGUGGUACAUUUACACAAUGGAGUACUGCUCAGCUAUUGGAAAUAACAUCAGGAAAUUGCAGGUAAAUGAAUGGAAUUAGAAAAAAAGUCAUCCUGAGUGAGGUAACCCAGAUGCAGAAAGAAAAACAUAGUACGUACUCAAUCAUAAGUAGGUAUUAGCUGUAAAGUAAAGGAAAACCAGGCAAUAAUCCACAGACCCAGAGAGGAUAGGUAACAGGGAGGGCCCAAGGGGAGCAGGAUGCAUGGAUCUCCUUGCAAAGGGGAAAUAGAAGAGAUUUUGUGGGUGGACUGGAGGCAGGUAGAGAUGAGAAUAUGAGGGAUCAGGUGGGAGAGUAGGUGAAGAGUACUGAAAAAGAUGACUGUAAAGGGGGGGGAAGCAUUUCAGGGUCAGGUAAAAACCUGGUGCAAGGGAAACUCCCAUGAACCUACAAGAAUGACCCCAGCUAAGAAUCCUAGAAGUAGGAUAAAUAGCAUGAAGAGGUCAUCUCCUGUGACCAGGCAACACUUCCAGUGGAGAGAUUAGAACAUGAACCCAGCUACAUAACUUUUGACCUACAAUCUGUCUACUUAUGGGAUGUGUAAGUGUGGUGCAGAGAUUGUGGGAGUGGCCAACAAUGACUGUCCCAGCCUCAGAUCCAUGCCAUGAGAGUGAGCCUACCCCAGACACUGACUGGAGUACCAGCACCAAGAGACUGGAUAGUUCAGAGACCUAGGAUGGAGCUAAAUAAGAUUGGAGAAAAAAAUGUCAAUGUAAUGAUGCCUAAUGAUGUUUUGCUGUACUCACAUAUUGGUGCCUAGUCCAAUUAUCAUGACAGAGUCUUCAUCCAAUAACUGCUGGAAACAGAUGCAGAAACCCAUAGCCAAAUAUUAGGCCUAGUUCAGGGAAUCCUGAUGAAGAGAGGAAGGAAGGAUUAGAAACCAGAGGCAUCAAGGACAUCACAAGAAAUCCACAUAAUCAACUAACCUGGGCGGAUAGUGGCUCACAGAGACUGAACCUACAACCAGAGAGUCUGCAUGGGACUGAGCUAGGCAUUCUACAUGUAUAUGAUAGUUGUAUAGUUUGGUCUUCUUGUAGGACUCCUAAAAGUGUCAACAGCACUAUCACUGACUCUUUUGCUGGCUUUUGGGAUUCUAUUCCUCAAACUGGGUUGCCUUACCCAGCCUUAAUACAAGGGAAGGUGCUUAGUCUUGCUGAGACUUGAUAUGCCUUGUUUUUUGAUAUCCAGGGGAGGCCUGCCCUUUUCUGAAAAAGAAAUCAAGGAAGAAUGGAAGGGGAACUGACAGGAGGGGUGAAGGAAUUGGGAGGAGAAGAAGGAAGGGAAAUUGUAGCAGGGAUGUAAAAUAAAUAAAUACAUAAAUACA
rnacentral:lncRNA from 1 species